rnacentral:lncRNA from 1 species
GAAUCCCUGGGAACAGCUCCUGGAAUGUGUCAGAUCCUGGAAAACACCGGGAACGGGGCUUGGAAUGUGUGAGAUCCCGGAAUGUGUCAGAUCCCGGAAACACCGGGAACGGGGCCUGGAAGGUGUCAGAUCCCAGAAUGUGUCAGAUCCUGGAAUGUGUCAGAUCCCGGAAACACCGGGAACGGGGCCUGGAAUGUGUCGGAUCCUGGGAAACACCAGGAAUGGGGCUUGGAAUGUGUCAGAUCCCGGGAACAGCUCCUGGAAUGUGUCAGAUCCCGGAAUGUGUCAGAUCCCGGCAAACACCCGGAACAGUUCCUGGAAUGUGUCGGAUCCCGGGAAACACCCGGAACAGUUCCUGGAGCGGGGCAUGGCCCAGGAAACACCCAGAACAGUUCCUGGAAUGUGUCGGAUCCCGGAAACACCCGGAACAGCUCCUGGAACAAGGCGCGGCCUCUCAAACACCCGGAAUGGCAUCUGGAGUGGGGCACGGCCCAGGAAACACCCGGAACAGCUCCUGGAAUGUGUCAGAUCCCGGCAAACACCCGGAACAGUUCCUGGAGCAGGGCAUGGCCCAGGAAACACCCGGAACAGCUCCUGGAAGGUGUCAGAUCCCAGAAACACCGGGAACGGGGCUUGGAAUGUGUCAGACCCCGGAAAACACCGGGAACGGGGCCUGGAAUGUGUCAGAUCCCGGGAACAGCUCCUGGAAUGUGUCAGAUCCCAGAAACACCGGGAAUGGGGCUUGGAAUGUGUUAGAUCCCGGGAAUCCCUGGGAACAGCUCCUGGAAUGUGUCAGAUCCCGGGAACACCGGGAACGGGGCCUGGAAUGUGUGAGAUCCCGGAAUGUGUCAGAUCCCGGAAUGUGUCAGAUCCCGGAAACACCGGGAACAGCUCCUGGAAGGUGUCAGAUCCCAGAAACACCGGGAAUGGGGCUUGGAAUGUGUCAGAUCCCAGAAUGUGUCAGAUCCCAGAAAUACCGGGAAUGGGGCUUGGAAUGUGUCAGAUACCGGGAACAGCUCCUGGAAUGUGUCAGAUCCCGGAAACACCGGGAACGGGGCCUGGAAUGUGUCAGGUCCCAGAAACGGCACCUGGAAUGUGUCAGGUCCCAGAAACGGCACCUGGAAUGGGUCAGAUCCCGGGAACAGCUCCUGGAAUGUGUCAGAUCCCGGGAACAGCUCCUGGAAUGUGUCAGAUCCCGGGAACAGCUCCUGGAAUGUGUCAGAUCCCAGGAAUCCCCGGGAACAGCU